UUGAAUCUAACAGAUAUUUUUUUCAGUGCAUAUUUUUGUGUACCAAACGUAAGAUUAAAUUGUCACGUCGCAAAACUUUACCAGUCGCUCGAGAUUAAAUAGAUGCUCCGACAUUCAUAUACGUUCGUACACUGAAAAAAAGUCUCAUAGAUUCAACCAGUCGUCUGUUAGAAAAUGGACGAAUCAAAAUUCCCUUUAGGAAAUACCAGACUUGUACUGAAGUCUAGCAAACUUCUGGUCAUGAAACAUCUUUCACGGUAAAUCCUGAAGGAAUUCUGGUAAAUCCUAAAGGAAUUCUGAUUCGUCCAUUUUCUAACAGACGACUGGUUGAAUCUAUCAGACUUUUUCUUCAGUGUAGAUUUUAACAAGCCGAGGAAAAAAUUUCCGCUCUUUCAUAAAAAGUAAAGAAACGAGAAAGACUUGUCCGCACGUAUAUAAAUUGCAUAUACAUGCAAUAAUUAUAUAUAAAGUGUGAUUAUGUAGAAUAUUGUACAAUUUAUUGCCAUUUCACUUUUCGUGAAAACAAAACAAAAGUUAUGUUUCAAUUCUUAUUAUCUCUCUUGUGUUUAUGCAAGGGAUUAUGCAAGAGAAAGAAACACAUGUUUAAUAUUUUUCUUUACUUUAUUUCAUCGGCGAAAUUCUUUCUGAAUACCCUGUACUAUUAUCUGUGGUAUAUUUAUGAGUCGUACAUUGAAACAGUUUACCUUAUGUAGGCGAGUGUAUAUACAACUUCUUUUAGAAUUACGUGAAAUAUGACCGCCGGAGAAGCUUCAAUUUCUCUGAACGAGAACGUACAACGAGUGAUUGAUGACGACGGUAUCGUGCGAGUAUCAGUUUAUGCAGGAGCCACCUGUGUCGAUGUCGACAUUGUUUCAACAUCGACCGACGAGUCAUUCCUCGCUGGGAAGUCGACUUUCGGUUUUGAACUGAAGAAUAAAUCACAUCUCCCUUUUAUACCGCAUUAUUUGUGGGACGACCCAACUCGUAUGGAUAUUUGACAUAUAAUGUAGAAUAUUUUUGUUCUCCAAAGUCACGCUAAUUUCACGUCGAGCGCGGCGAUGAGACUACAAUAGACCGCAGAACUGCACGUGCGCGUGUAAAAAUUGCUCGUGACCUCGCCAAAAUCGUCGAUGCCCCGGUAAAAGCGAGCCACUCUCCUAAUCCACGGCUGAUCGAUUAUGGCAGUGCCCAGGAAAAUCAUUGUUGGACGAUCGCUUUCCCCAAAUAGGAUGGUUUAUAAAUAACGGAGUAUCAUGUCUUAUAAUAAUUUCGGUUAUUAGGUUACAUUUACACGUCAAUAUUGUUAUCUUGCUCUUAUUAUAUUUUGUCUCGUUGAAGUGAAGAAAUAAUCCAUGCUCUCUUAUUAACGUAGAAUAAAGAGCGUUUAAUACAAGAAGAAAGAAUACAAGUGAAAGAUCCAACUGCUUAAAUCAGUCUUGAAGUGAAGAAAUGACGGAACUGCAAAAUUAAAGAAUUACGUGAAAUAUGACCGCCGGAGAAGCUUCAAUUUCUCUGAACGAGAACGUACAACGAGUGAUUGAUGACGAUGAUAUCGUGCGAGUAUCAGGUGUUCAGGAGCAAAACCGUGGAUCCUCUAAUUCACGUGAAGGAGCAUUAAAUCACCCGUUUCUAAAUGAAUCGUCUUGGCUGCGUAUCGACCGAUCACCUCCUCGCGAAAGACAGCGGCAACGACGCCGAUGGAAACUCAGUAAAUGCUUUCGGUGUACAUCGGCUGUGAGAGACGAGGCACAUAACUCGUACAAGUAGCCGUCCGAAAAAUUUCCAACGUGUCAGAUGCCGAUAUCGGUUUUUGUGACAAAAUGAUACUCGCGCUUCGAAGGAAUCCUUACUUAUUAUCUUAUUAUGAUCAAUUGACGUAUACCCAGAUAGCCAGCGUUAGCACAAAUUGCUUUCAUAUUGCUAACAAAAACGUUAGCAUCUUGCUAUGCAUCUAUGUCGCCUAUUAGUGCUGUUGUUUGCUAGCAUUUGAUGUCGGAAAUGAAACAUUUGCAUGAUCCAAACAUUAUACUAGCAUUAAAUGCUUGGCCAGAUGUAAUAGAUAUGACAUGUUUAUAUCGGUUAAAAAAAUUGAAAACGAUUUAUGCUAACUCUUUGUUAACAGUAUGCCCGUUCGAUGCGUUCUUAACUACGACAAUAUGUUAACAUUAUGCUAGCUGCACUUAAAUCACUCUCAAACCUUGAAUUCAUAUUCUUAGCCAGUUGCUGGCAUUUUAUUUCCACACGUUGCUCGAGCAUACUGGCUACCUGGGUACAUAAAGUACAUUUACAAAUGCAAACUUUUGAAGUUUACUCUUCUCAGCAGUAUUACAUAUAUUUUCAAUUUUUUUUUAUUACGAGUACCACAAAUGAGAGACAUUACAAGAAGGACAUGAGGUCGAGUUGGGAUUAUCUCUGCUUUAUAACGUCUCAUUAUUCCCGCAGGACAUUCCCUCCUCGAGAGACGCACCACCCGCGUACUCCGCGAUAUUCGCCGAUUCGCCCACCCGUGGACCCAGCUUCCCGGCAAACGAUCGAUCGUUCUUCGUGGCGCGAAUUCCACCGCCCAGCUAUGCCCAAGCGCAAGGAAUCAAUCUCGUGGGGCCUUCGGUGGACCCAUUCGUCUCCGUAUCCCGUAAAACGAUCUCGAAACACCUUAACGACCGGCUGUAAAAGAUUGUCUUGAACGAGCGCUCAUUUAAGAUACGAUCGCACGUCUCGUUAAAGUUUCCCCCCAAGAAAAUC